CCGGAGUUGUGGUGCAGACCGGGGUCGGGCCAGGUCGCUGCUGCUCUGGCCAUGGCUGAGGCACGCACGUCUCGCUGGUACUUUGGAGGGCUGGCUUCCUGCGGAGCUGCCUGCUGCACGCACCCUCUAGACCUGCUCAAGGUUUAACUGGAGGCUUCGUGGGGACCCCAGCAGAUUUGGUCAAUGUCAGGAUGCAGAAUGACAUGAAGCUGCCCCUGAGCCAGCGCCGCAACUACUCUCACGCCCUGGAUGGUCUGUACCGUGUAGCCCGUGAAGAAGGCCUGAAGAAGCUCUUCUCUGGAGCAACCAUGGCAUCCAGCCGUGGGGCCCUCGUCACUGUGGG
rnacentral:lncRNA from 1 species